CCCGGCGGCGAGUGGCGAACGGGUGAGUAAUAUAUCGGAACGUGCCCUGGAGUGGGGGAUAACGCAGCGAAAGUUGCGCUAAUACCGCAUACGAUCUAAGGAUGAAAGCAGGGGACCGCAAGGCCUUGUGCUCCUGGAGCGGCCGAUAUCUGAUUAGCUAGUUGGUGGGGUAAAGGCCUACCAAGGCAUCGAUCAGUAGCUGGUCUGAGAGGACGACCAGCCACACUGGAACUGAGACACGGUCCAGACUCCUACGGGAGGCAGCAGUGGGGAAUUUUGGACAAUGGGCGCAAGCCUGAUCCAGCAAUGCCGCGUGAGUGAAGAAGGCCUUCGGGUUGUAAAGCUCUUUUGUCAGGGAAGAAACGGUGAGUUCUAAUACAGUUCACUAAUGACGGUACCUGAAGAAUAAGCACCGGCUAACUACGUGCCAGCAGCCGCGGUAAUACGUAGGGUGCAAGCGUUAAUCGGAAUUACUGGGCGUAAAGCGUGCGCAGGCGGUUUUGUAAGUUUGUCGUGAAAUCCCCGGGCUCAACCUGGGAAUGGCGAUGAAGACUGCAAGGCUAGAAUCUGGCAGAGGGGGGUAGAAUUCCACGUGUAGCAGUGAAAUGCAUAGAGAUGUGGAGGAACACCGAUGGCGAAGGCAGCCCCCUGGGUCA
rnacentral:rRNA from 1 species